ensembl:miRNA microRNA 744
GGCUGGGCAAGGUGCGGGGCUAGGGCUAACAGCAGUCUUACUGAAGGUUUCCUGGAAACCACACACAUGCUGUUGCCACUAACCUCAACCUUACUCGGUC